AGAGUUUGAUCAUGGCUCAGAUUGAACGCUGGCGGCAGGCCUAACACAUGCAAGUCGAACGGUAACAGAAAGCAGCUUGCUGCUUUGCUGACGAGUGGCGGACGGGUGAGUAAUGUCUGGGAAACUGCCCGAUGGAGGGGGAUAACUACUGGAAACGGUAGCUAAUACCGCAUAACGUCGCAAGACCAAAGAGGGGGACCUUCGGGCCUCUUGCCAUCGGAUGUGCCCAGAUGGGAUUAGCUAGUAGGUGGGGUAAAGGCUCACCUAGGCGACGAUCCCUAGCUGGUCUGAGAGGAUGACCAGCCACACUGGAACUGAGACACGGUCCAGACUCCUACGGGAGGCAGCAGUGGGGAAUAUUGCACAAUGGGCGCAAGCCUGAUGCAGCCAUGCCGCGUGUAUGAAGAAGGCCUUCGGGUUGUAAAGUACUUUCAGCGGGGAGGAAGGGAGUAAAGUUAAUACCUUUGCUCAUUGACGUUACCCGCAGAAGAAGCACCGGCUAACUCCGUGCCAGCAGCCGCGGUAAUACGGAGGGUGCAAGCGUUAAUCGGAAUUACUGGGCGUAAAGCGCACGCAGGCGGUUUGUUAAGUCAGAUGUGAAAUCCCCGGGCUCAACCUGGGGAACUGCAUCUGAUACUGGCAAGCUUUGAGUCUCGAGAGGGGGGUAGAAUUCCAGGUGUAGCGGUGAAAUGCGUAGAGAUCUGGAGGAAUACCGGUGGCUAAAGCGGCCCCCUGGAC
rnacentral:rRNA from 1 species